rnacentral:rRNA from 1 species
GACGAACGCUGGCGGCGUGCUUAACACAUGCAAGUCGAACGGAAAGGCCCUGCUUUUGUGGGGUGCUCGAGUGGCGAACGGGUGAGUAACACGUGAGUAACCUGCCCUUGACUUUGGGAUAACUUCAGGAAACUGGGGCUAAUACCGGAUAGGAGCUCCUGCUGCAUGGUGGGGGUUGGAAAGUUUCGGCGGUUGGGGAUGGACUCGCGGCUUAUCAGCUUGUUGGUGGGGUAGUGGCUUACCAAGGCUUUGACGGGUAGCCGGCCUGAGAGGGUGACCGGCCACAAUGGUACUGCGGUACGGCCCAGAAUGCUACGGGAGGCAGCAGUGGGGAAUAUUGCACAAUGGGCGGAAGCCUGAUGCAGCAACGCCGCGUGCGGGAUGACGGCCUUCGGGUUGUAAACCGCUUUCGCCUGUGACGAAGCGUGAGUGACGGUAAUGGGUAAAGAAGCACCGGCUAACUACGUG